UACGUAGGGUGCGAGCGUUAAUCGGAAUUACUGGGCGUAAAGCGUGCGCAGGCGGUUUUGUAAGCCAGAUGUGAAAUCCCCGGGCUCAACCUGGGAAUGGCAUUUGGGACUGCAAGGCUGGAGUACGGCAGAGGAGACUGGAAUUCCUGGUGUAGCAGUGAAAUGCGUAGAGAUCAGGAGGAACACCUGUGGCGAAGGCGGCCCCCUGGGCCGGCCCUGACACUGAGACGCGAAGGCGUGGGGAGCGAACGGG
rnacentral:rRNA from 1 species